rnacentral:rRNA from 1 species
CCUACGGGAGGCAGCAGUGGGGAAUUUUGGACAAUGGGGGCAACCCUGAUCCAGCAAUGCCGCGUGAGUGAAGAAGGCCCUCGGGUUGUAAAGCUCUUUUGUCAGGGAAGAAACGGUGGGUUCUAAUACAGCCUGCUAAUGACGGUACCUGAAGAAUAAGCACCGGCUAACUACGUGCCAGCAGCCGCGGUAAUACGUAGGGUGCAAGCGUUAAUCGGAAUUACUGGGCGUAAAGCGUGCGCAGGCGGUUAUAUAAGACAGAGGUGAAAUCCCCGGGCUCAACCUGGGAACUGCCUUUGUGACUGUAUGGCUAGAGUGUGUCAGAGGGGGGUAGAAUUCCACGUGUAGCAGUGAAAUGCGUAGAUAUGUGGAGGAAUACCGAUGGCGAAGGCAGCCCCCUGGGAUAACACUGACGCUCAUGCACGAAAGCGUGGGGAGCAAACAGGAUUAGAUACCCUGGUAGUCCACGCCCUAAACGAUGUCUACUAGUUGUCGGGACUUAAUUGUCUUGGUAACGCAGCUAACGCGUGAAGUAGACCGCCUGGGGAGUACGGUCGCAAGNUUAAAACUCAAAUGAAUUGACGGCUGAGAGNGCGAGGACGACGACGAGGGAGGAGG